UUUGUUGGGUUUGGGGGGAGGGGCGGUCUUUGUGAGUCCGCCAUUUGCAGCGAAGCGCCGUCCCACCCGUCGCCACCUUCCCGGGACCUCACCACGUCGUGGGCCCCAGUUUCCUUCAGUUUUCCUCUUCCCCGGCUCCGGGUCGCCCGCCGCUAUCGGAGAAAACAGCGAAAACCUGAGGUUCAGGAGCCGAUUGUGAUCCAAACGCCAGAGAGCAGAAGGAGGACGGCCCUUCCCUAGGAGCAGGAAACAGCAGAAAGAGUGAUCGUAACUUCAAAACAAGGAAGACAGCGCUCCUCUUUUAUUCCACCACCCCCCCCCCCCACCACUCCCUACCCCCAACUCCUACCCCAGCCCUGUCGCCAACCCAUCAGGAGCUGAAAGACAGUACCCCGCCAGCUCUCUCUCUCUCUGUUCAGCGGAAAGAGCAGUCAUUACACCUAAACCAGGAAGACAACGUCUCCCUUUUCCUACCUCCCCUUCCCCCUCCCCCCUCCCCCCUGGCCCCCUCCCAUCCAAUCUUUCCCACCCGCACCCCCCCACCCAAACUCUCCCAGUAUUCUUCCCUCCAGUCCCCCAAAAGACCCAAGACCAACCAGGAAGAGAAAGCAGGACCACCAACCGCCUUGUGUUCUCCAUCGGUUGAUUGAGUUGCCAUCAGCCUCAGACGUUGGAUGAUGGAAUCAGCUGUUGAAGGUGGAUUGAAUGUAACCCUCAGCCUGCGGCUCCUGAUGCACG